UCCGAAUGGGGAAACCCGGCCAUUUUUAAUGGUCACCUUAUACUGAAUACAUAGGUAUAAGGAGCGAACCUGGGGAACUGAAACAUCUAAGUACCCAGAGGAAAAGAAAUCAACCGAGAUUCCCUUAGUAGCGGCGAGCGAACGGGGACCAGCCCUUAAGCUCUAUUUGUGUUAGUGGAACAUACUGGAAAGUUUGGCCAUAGUGGGUGAUAGCCCCGUACACGAAAAUGCAUUUAGAGUGAAAUCGAGUAGAUCGGGACACGUGAUAUCCUGAUUGAAUAUGGGGGGACCAUCCUCCAAGGCUAAAUACUACUGUCGACCGA
rnacentral:rRNA from 1 species